UACGUAGGGUGCAAGCGUUAAUCGGAAUUACUGGGCGUAAAGCGUGCGCAGGCGGUGAUGUAAGACAGAUGUGAAAUCCCCGGGCUCAACCUGGGAACUGCAUUUGUGACUGCAUCGCUGGAGUGCGGCAGAGGGGGAUGGAAUUCCGCGUGUAGCAGUGAAAUGCGUAGAUAUGCGGAGGAACACCGAUGGCGAAGGCAAUCCCCUGGGCCUGCACUGACGCUCAUGCACGAAAGCGUGGGGAGCAAACAGA
rnacentral:rRNA from 1 species